AUAUAAUUACCUUAAUUUAAAGGAUUAUUUUGAUAAAAUAAAUAUAUAAACAAACAUAUUAUAUA
rnacentral:tRNA from 1 species